UACGAAGGGCGCUAGCGUUGUUCGGAAUCACUGGGCGUAAAGCGCACGUAGGCGGAUGUGUCAGUCAGGGGUGAAAUCCCGGAGCUCAACUUCGGAACUGCCUUUGAUACAGCACGUCUUGAGUCCGAUAGAGGUGGGUGGAAUUCCUAGUGUAGAGGUGAAAUUCGUAGAUAUUCGCAAGAACACCAGUGGCGAAGGCGGCUCACUGGCCCGGUACUGACGCUGAGGCACGAAAGCGUGGGGAGCAAACAGG
rnacentral:rRNA from 1 species